UACCGAGGUCCCGAGCGUUGUUCGGAUUCCUUGGGCGUAAAGGGUGCCUAGGCGGCGGGGCAAGUCUGAUGUGAAAUCCCGGGGCUCAACCCCGGAACUGCAUUGGAUACUGCCUUGCUCGAGUACUGGAGAGGGAACUGGAAUUUACGGUGUAGCAGUGAAAUGCGUAGAGAUCGUGAGGAAGGCCAGUGGCGAAGGCGAGUUCCUGGACAGUUACUGACGCUGAGGCACGAAGGCCAGGGGAGCAAACGGG
rnacentral:rRNA from 1 species